rnacentral:rRNA from 1 species
UCAUCAUGGCCCUUACGUCCAGGGCGACACACGUGCUACAAUGGCAGCUACGAGAGGGCAGCAAGACCGCGAGGUGGAGCCAAUCCCCUAAAAAGCCUAGUCUCAGUUGGGAUCGGAGUCUGCAACUCGACUCCGUGAGCGCGGAAUCGCUAGUAAUCGUGGAUCGGCCAUGCCACGGUGAAUACGUUCCCGGGCCUU